CCCCCACAGCUCACAGUCACGGACGGGAUCACAGCCGGUCGGCUCGCGACGCGGUCACGGAAAAUAAUAGCUGGACACAGACAAACUGGAGAGACAGCUGACAGGAUGUCGUCAUCUGUAACCGUCACUCGCCACAGUUCUCAAGUAAGGGACAAUAAUGGCAUCAGCCAUUCAAGUUAUGAUCCUGGCAGAUCUACUACUAUCUGAAAAGUAGUCUCUGCAGAUUGUUUCAAGAUGCACAAGAUGGAGCGUGGAGAGGCAGGACAUGGACCACAGUUUUCAGCACCCACACCCCACACUCAAAUUCAUAUAGAAGUCCUCAAUUAUUAAAUGUUAAUAUGAUAGUUUAUAUUUAGCUGUGAAGUUAUAGUUCAUUGUCAUAAAUAUUAAACUACAUAUUAUUAUUAUUAUUAUUAUUAUUAUUUUACAUGAUAUGCAAAUUUCACCAAUUUGUUCAAUGUGUUAAUGAACUUUUUGAAAGUGACUAUCUUUAAUAAUUCAGAUACCUGUUGAAAUGCACAUGUAAUUAUAUACUUGCUCGUAUCUGGAAGGUUGUGUUAAUAAAAAUGAUGUUGAAAGCAAAUGUUGCAAUACUGCUAAUCUUAAAAUAACAUUUUAUUAAACUAAACUUUGUAAUGUUCCAAAUAAAUGUUUUUAGGAUGUUGUAUUUUUAAGAAAAUGUAGGUGGAAAUAAAGUUGUAGGAACAUUAUGCUAACCAUAAAAUAACGUUCUAGCUACGUUAAGCAAACUGGACAUUUUAACGUUCUUGGAAUGUUCCAAAUAAACGUUCAUAGAACGUUAUAUUUUUUUUAAAUGAAAUUUAGGUUGCAGGAACGUUAUGCUAACCAUAAAAUAAUGUUCUAGGAACGUUAAGCAAACUGGACAUUUUAACGUUCUUGGAAUGUUCCAAACAAACGUUCAUAUAACGUUAUAUUUUUAGUGAAAUUUAGGUUGCAAGAACGUUGUAGGAACAUUAUGCUAACAAAAAAUAACGUUCUAGGAACGUUAAGCAAACUGGACAUUUUAACGUUCUUGGAAUGUUCCAAACAAACGUUCAUAUAACGUUAUAUUUUUAGUGAAAUUUAGGUUGCAAGAACAUUGUAGGAACGUUAUGCUAACAAAAAAUAACGUUCUAGGAACGUUAAGCAAACUGGACAUUUUAACGUUCUUGGAAUGUUCCAAAUAAACGUUCAUAGAACAUUAUAUUUUUAGUGAAAUUUAGGUUGCAAGAACGUUGUAGGAACGUUAUGCUAACAAAACAAUAAUGUUCUAGGAACGUUAAGCAAACUGGACAUUUUAACGUUCUUGGAAUGUUCCAAAUAAACGUUCAUAGAACAUUAUAUUUUUAGUGAAAUUUAGGUUGCAAGAACGUUGUAGGAACGUUAUGCUAACCAAAAAAUAACGUUCUAGGAACAUUAAGCAAACUGGACAUUUUAACGUUCUUGGAAUGUUCCAAAUAAACGUUCAUAGAACGUUAUAUUUUUAGUGAAAUGUAGGUUGCAAGAACGUUGUAGGAACGUUAUGCUAACCAUCAAAUAACGUUCUAGCAACGUAACGCAAACUGGACAUUUCCACAUUUUUGGAACAUUCCAAAUAACGUUCCCACAACCAAAACAGAACGUUACAAAAACGUUCUCAGAACAUAAAUUUGU